rfam:Dipodomys ordii contig_62101, whole genome shotgun sequence.
GGUGGCUCAAUGGUAGAGCACUUGCCUUGUGCAUGCAUGAGGCCCUGGGUUCGAUUCCUCAGCACCA